AGCGGAGGAAAAGAAACCAACAGGGAUUGCCCUAGUAACGGCGAGUGAAGCGGCAACAGCUCAAAUUUGAAAUCUGGCGUCUUCGGCGUCCGAGUUGUAAUUUGCAGAGGGCGCUUUGGUAUUGGCAGCGGUCCAAGUUCCUUGGAACAGGACGUCACAGAGGGUGAGAAUCCCGUACGUGGUCGCUGGCCUUUACCGUGUAAAGCCCCUUCGACGAGUCGAGUUGUUUGGGAAUGCAGCUCUAAAUGGGAGGUAAAUUUCUUCUAAAGCUAAAUACUGGCCAGAGACCGAUAGCGCACAAGUAGAGUGAUCGAAAGAUGAAAAGCACUUUGGAAAGAGAGUUAAAAAGCACGUGAAAUUGUUGAAAGGGAAGCGCUUGCAGCCAGACUUGCCUGUAGUUGCUCAUCCGGGUUUUUACCCGGUGCACUCUUCUGCGGGCAGGCCAGCAUCAGUUUGGGCGGUUGGAUAAAGGCCUCUGUCAUGUACCUCUCUUCGGGGAGGACUUAUAGGGGAGGUGACAUGCAACCAGCCCGGACUGAGGUCCGCGCAUUUGCUAGGAUGCUGGCGUAAUGGCUGUAAGCGGCCCGUCUUGAAACACGGACCAAGGAGUCUAACAUCUAUGCGAGUGUUUGGGUGUCAAGCCCGAACGCGUAAUGAAAGUGAACGGAGGUGGGAACCUUUCGGGGUGCACCAUCGACCGAUCCUGAUGUCUUCGGAUGGAUUUGAGUAAGAGCAUAGCUGUUGGGACCCGAAAGAUGGUGAACUAUGCUUGAAUAGGGUGAAGCCAGAGGAAACUCUGGUGGAGGCUCGCAGCGGUUCUGACGUGCAAAUCGAUCGUCAAAUUUGGGCAUAGGGGCGAAAGACUAAUCGAACUAUCUAGUAGCUGGUUCCUGCCGAAUUUCCC
rnacentral:rRNA from 1 species